UUUAACAAAAGGUGUUUCUGGUCUGCUUAAUACGGCUCUGUAAAUGGCUAAUUUAUGCCUGGCGCACCUGGUGACACGGUACAGUAGCUGGAGAGAGACUCAGAAAGACGGAGAGAAGAGGGGGAAUCAGGGAGGAGACCUAGCUGUUGAAGGCAGGAGGAAUAUAAAAGAGAAAUUGACGGAGCGAUGGAAAGAAAGAUGGAGGGACAGAGGAGGAGUGUUAAUGACACACUGACACAGAAACCCCGUGGCCUUUCAUCCAGCAGCACCAUCAGAAGAAACUUCAUCAAGGCUGGAGACCUCUGCAAGGGGGGUGAGGCCAGAGAGUGAAAGGAGAGAAGACAAGAAAUAACGAUUGCAACAUUCCUCCCAUUUCAACACAUUUCAUAGUCCUCCUUUAACAUUUAACAAAUUCCACCUCUCAUGCUGUCAAUUUAAUUCCUCUGUUCAAUUUAUGUCCACCUCGAGGCUUCCUCUGCAAGGAUCUCUCGGUCAUUCACAUCGAGACCACAAAUAUUUACAGUGCAGACGCAGUAAAUGCCUUCUUGCAACACACACAAGGAAAUAGAUAUUCCAGUCCAUCCACAGAGAGUUGGAUGUGUUGUGUUCAGGGCUGAGUGUUCAGCUCGCUGCUGCCACGCGUCUCCUCUUGGGAUCAAGAGGCUUUUAUAGACUAAAUAUUGUAAACAUUGAGCAAUUCUUCCAAUAUGUUUUGUUGCACUCACAGCAUUCCAGUCAACAGCUUAUCAAGAGUAAGCCAAGUAAAUGCAUUUGCUCAUAUUCCAAGCACAGACAUCCAUCAAUAUAUUAAAUAUUGGGAAUAUUUCAGUGGAACAGAAUCUUCUCAAAUGUAAGGGACUUAGGGCCUUAACUAUUACUGGCAUACAGAGAAAAUGAACAGUGGUGGACAAAAUAAUGAGCAAGUUCAUUCUUGAACUUGGAAAGAGUAAUUACACAUGCACAAAAAAAUCUUAAAUCAAGGUCCACUUACUAGCUUUUUCUGGAGCUUUCAUCUGCAUCUCACAGUCUUCAUCAGUGUUUGGAAUUUGCUCAGUCAGUUAUCAUGGAGAUGACUCAAUUGUCAUUAUACCAUACUUAGGAGACCUUAUGACAACUGAGCCAUUUCCAUGACAACUUAGCAAACUCCAUCUGCUGAAGAAGACCAUAUCAUGCAUUUGAAGGUGGAAAAAGCAAGUACGUGGACUUUUUGUUGAUCAAAAUGUUUCUUAAUGUCCUGACUUGUACUGAGCAGCCACAGAAUGAUUCAUUGGCAACUAUUAACCUGAAUAAACACCAUUUCUGUUGCAUUCAAAGUAUUUUCUCUCAACUUAUUUUGGGAGUUCUUUAAAAUUUCCCACAUGCUACAUGCUUGUUCCAAAGAGAACAACAAUUGCCUAUUAAUAUUAAAAUAAUUAACAUUUCCUACAAUUUGGGCAGAUCAUUACAGACCAAAUACUUUUGAAUAAAAAGUGACAGCCAUACAGUAGAAUCCCAUUCAACAUGUGCAAACUUUUAAGUAAAGUAUAGAU